UAAGAGAGCACCUGGUCCUCAGAA
rnacentral:misc_RNA from 1 species